CCAGACUCCUACGGGAGGCAGCAGUGAGGAAUAUUGGUCAAUGGGCGGGAGCCUGAACCAGCCAAGCCGCGUGAGGGAAGAAGGUACAGCGUAUCGUAAACCUCUUUUGUCAGGGAACAAAGGCGGGGACUAGUCCCCGGAUGAGGGUACCUGAAGAAAAAGCAUCGGCUAACUCCGUGCCAGCAGCCGCGGUAAUACGUAGGUGGCAAGCGUUGUCCGGAUUUACUGGGUGUAAAGGGCGUGUAGCCGGGCCGGCAAGUCAGAUGUGAAAUCCCAAGGCUCAACCUUGGAACUGCAUUUGAAACUGUUGGUCUUGAGUAUCGGAGAGGCAGGCGGAAUUCCUAGUGUAGCGGUGAAAUGCGUAGAUAUUAGGAGGAACACCAGUGGCGAAGGCGGUCUGCUGGACAGCAACUGACGCUGAGGCGCGAAAGCGUGGGGAGCAAACAGGAUUAGAUACCCGAGUA
rnacentral:rRNA from 1 species